rnacentral:rRNA from 1 species
ACUUGAAUUGAAGAGUUUGAUCAUGGCUCAGAUUGAACGCUGGCGGCAGGCUUAACACAUGCAAGUCGAACGGUAGCAGGAGAAAGCUUGCUUUCUUGCUGACGAGUGGCGGACGGGUGAGUAAUGCUUGGGAAUCUGGCUUAUGGAGGGGGAUAACGACGGGAAACUGUCGCUAAUACCGCGUAUUAUCGGAAGAUGAAAGUGCGGGACUGAGAGGCCGCAUGCCAUAGGAUGAGCCCAAGUGGGAUUAGGUAGUUGGUGGGGUAAAGGCCUACCAAGCCUGCGAUCUCUAGCUGGUCUGAGAGGAUGACCAGCCACACUGGAACUGAGACACGGUCCAGACUCCUACGGGAGGCAGCAGUGGGGAAUAUUGCGCAAUGGGGGGAACCCUGACGCAGCCAUGCCGCGUGAAUGAAGAAGGCCUUCGGGUUGUAAAGUUCUUUCGGUAUUGAGGAAGGUUGAUGUGUUAAUAGUACAUCAAAUUGACGUUAAAUACAGAAGAAGCACC